GACGAACGCUGGCGGCGUGCUUAACACAUGCAAGUCGAACGGAAAGGCCUGCUUUCCCUUGUGGAUUGCGGGUACUCGAGUGGCGAACGGGUGAGUAACACGUGAGUGAUCUGCCCCCAACUUGGGUAUAAGCCUGGGAAACUGGGUCUAAUUCCCGAUAGGACUUCAGGGUGGUGCCUGUGGUGGAAAACGAUUUUCUAGUGGUUGGGGAUGAGCUCGCGGCCUAUCAGCUUGUUGGUGGGGUAAUGGCCUACCAAGGCGGCGACGGGUAGCCGGCCUGAGAGGGUGGACGGCCACAUUGGGAAUGAGAUACGGCCCAGACUCCUACGGGAGGCAGCAGUGGGGAAUAUUGCACAAUGGGCGGAAGCCUGAUGCCGCGACGCCGGGUGGGGGAUGACGGCCUUCGGGUUGUAAACUCCUUUCGACCGCGAGGAAGCCACCUGGUUGGAAGGGUGGUGACGGUAGUGGUAGAAGAAGCACCGGCUAACUACGU
rnacentral:rRNA from 1 species